AGUGAACGCUGGCGGUAGGCCUAACACAUGCAAGUCGAACGGCAGCACAGUAAGAGCUUGCUCUUACGGGUGGCGAGUGGCGGACGGGUGAGGAAUACAUCGGAAUCUACUUUUUCGUGGGGGAUAACGUAGGGAAACUUACGCUAAUACCGCAUACGACCUACGGGUAAAAGCAGGGGAUCUUCGGACCUUGCGCGAUUGAAUGAGCCGAUGUCGGAUUAGCUAGUUGGCGGGGUAAAGGCCCACCAAGGCGACGAUCCGUAGCUGGUCUGAGAGGAUGAUCAGCCCAACUGGAACUGAGACACGGUCCAGACGCCUACGGGAGGCAGCAGUGGGGAAUAUUGGACAAUGGGCGCAAGCCUGAUCCAGCCAUACCGCGGGGGUGAAGAAGGCCUUCGGGUUGGAAAGACCUUUUGUUGGGAAAGAAAAGCAGCAGGUUAAUACCCCGCUGUUCUGACGGUACCCAAAGAAUAAGCACCGGCUAACUUCGUGC
rnacentral:rRNA from 1 species